GAAAUUGAGAAGUGUCCCCAAAUUGCUUAGAAUCCUCAAACACAAAUUAGGGAUUUCUUUUGGGCCGUUUAGGGUUUAAUUAAAAAUUCUCAUAUGUGCGUAAAAGUUAAUCUAUUGAAGGAGCUGGUUACACAACCAAAAUGACGAAAAGCACAAGAGAAGGCAGUGGAAGCUUCAACAAACCAGUUAACCUAAGAAUAUGUAGAACAAGUACCUAAUAUAGGAACUAUAGAGGUUCAUGUAGAGCUGGCUGGGAAUGUCAUCAAUGAAGAGGGUAAUGAAGAAGAAGAGAGUGUUGAAGAAGACAUUAAUAUUGAUGGUAGGAGAUGAAGAUUAGAAUUUGAAAAUAGUGUUGAUGAAUAAGACAAGGAGAUUUAUGAGAGUGACAAUGAUGCUGCCCUAGAUGACAAUAACAAAUUUGAUCUAGAUUUUCAGUCCAACUUUGAGAGAGUAGGAAAUACUUAUCUCCCUAAAGAUUUUGUGGCUGCUGCUUGUGAAGAAUACAAUGAUACAAACUCUGAGAAAUGAUUUGACUCUCUAAUUACUCUUUAGAUGAGGAAGGUGAAAGAAGGAGAAAAUUUUCAGAGUUUUGUAAGUCUGAUUUGGAUAACCUUAACUUUGAGAAGGGAAUGUUAUUUGGAAGAAAGGAAGACUUGAAAAAAGCUGUGAAGAAUUAUGUAGUGCAAGGCAAUUAUCGUAUUAAAUUUGUGAAAAAUGAUAAAAGGAGGAUAACUGCACAAUGUUUAGGGUAUAAUGUGUCUGAUAGUUAAUGUGCAAGAGCUAAGAACAAGGCCAAUGAGAUAAUAUAAGGGACUUAUAAGGAGCAAUACUCAAGGUUGCGAGAGUAUUGUGAUGAGGUCAUAGCAACUAAUGUUGGAAGCACAAUGAAGUUGGUGAACUUAUUUUUUUAAAUGCAAAUCAGGAAAAGCUCAUCACAUGCAACUUUGCAGCAAGGUGUAUCGAGUUCUGUGAAUCUAUCUGCCUCUACCUAUGUGAAUCCAUCUGCUUCUGCCUCUGUGAAUCCA